GGAUGCUUAGCUCAGUUGGGAGAGCACUGCCCUUACAAGGCAGGGGUCGGGGGUUCAAGCCCCUCAGUAUCCACCA
rnacentral:tRNA from 1 species